AGGAGCACGAAGGUUGGCUAAUCCUGGUCGGACAUCAGGAGGUUAGUGCAAUGGCAUAAGCCAGCUUGACUGCGAGCGUGACGGCGCGAGCAGGUGCGAAAGCAGGUCAUAGUGAUCCGGUGGUUCUGAAUGGAAGGGCCAUCGCUCAACGGAUAAAAGGUACUCCGGGGAUAACAGGCUGAUACCGCCCAAGAGUUCAUAUCGACGGCGGUGUUUGGCACCUCGAUGUCGGCUCAUCACAUCCUGGGGCUGAAGUAGGUCCCAAGGGUAUGGCUGUUCGCCAUUUAAAGUGGUACGCGAGCUGGGUUUAGAACGUCGUGAGACAGUUCGGUCCCUAUCUGCCGUGGGCGCUGGAGAACUGAGGGGGGCUGCUCCUAGUACGAGAGGACCGGAGUGGACGCAUCACUGGUGUUCGGGUUGUCAUGCCAAUGGCACUGCCCGGUAGCUAAAUGCGGAAGAGAUAAGUGCUGAAAGCAUCUAAGCACGAAACUUGCCCCGAGAUGAGUUCUCCCUGACUCCUUGAGAGUCCUGAAGGAACGUUGAAGACGACGACGUUGAUAGGCCGGGUGUGUAAGCGCAGCGAUGCGUUGAGCUAACCGGUACUAAUGAACCGUGAGGCUUAACCUUACAACGCCGAAGGUGUUU
rnacentral:rRNA from 1 species